rnacentral:rRNA from 1 species
GGGGGAUAUGGGGCGAAGCCUGAUGGAGCACGCCGCGUGCAGGAUGAAUGCCUUAGGGUUGUAAACUGCUUUUCUUUGUGAGGAUUAUGACAGUAGCAGAGGAAUAAGGAUCGGCUAACUCCGUGCCAGCAGCCGCGGUCAUACGGAGGAUCCAAGCGUUAUCCGGAAUUACUGGGCGUAAAGAGUUGCGUAGGCGGCAGAGUAAGCAGAGAUUGAAAGCGUGUGGCUCAACCAUACAUCCAAUCUUUGAACUGCUCAGCUAGAGGAUGAGAGAGGUGGCUGGAAUUCCCAGUGUAGGAGUGAAAUCCGUAGAUAUUGGGAGGAACACCGAUGGCGUAGGCAGGCCACUGGCUCAUUCCUGACGCUCAGGCACGAAAGCGUGGGGAGCGACCGGGAUUAGAUACCCCGUUAGUCCACGCCGUAAACUAUGGAUGCUAGCUGUGCCCCGUAUCGACCCGGGACGUAGCGAAGCUAACGCGUUAAGCAUCCCGCCUGUGGAGUACGGUCGCAAGAC